GUGUGUUUUUGUUAUUGUCAUGCAUCUCAUAUCAUGUCAUCAUGUGCAUUGCAUUUGCAUACGUGUUCGUCUCAUGCAUCCGAGCAUUUUCCCCAUUGUCCGUUUUGCAUUCCGGCACUCCAUUCUCCUUCGGUGGUCAUUUCUACCUUAUUUUCGUGUGUGGGGGUUAAACAUUUCCGGAUUGGACCGAGACUUCCCAAGCGGCCUUGGUUUACUACCGGUAGACCGCCUGUCAAGUUUCAUACCAUUUGGACUUCGUUUGAUGCUCCAACGGUUAACCGAGGGACCGAGAAGGCCUCGUGUGUGUUGCAGCCCAACACCCCUCCAUUUUGGCCCAAAACCCACCAAAACCCUCUCCAUCAUCUAGAGAGUUCGAUCACGAUCGCGUGGCUGAAAAUCGCACCUCAUUUGGACACUCCUAGCUCCCUCUAUGCCUAUAAAUAUCACCCCCUUUCGAAAUCACGGUUGAAACCCUAGCCCCCCUCCUCCUCCAGCCGCCGGACAAAAUCCGGACGGCCGGACAUUGUCCGCCGCUCGCCCAGACCAACCGCAGCUUUCCACGUGCCCCGAGCCCCACAUCGCCGCCUCCUCCCGUUGCCGGCCCGUCCUGGCCCGAAGUCGGCCCUCCGCCGCAGCGCCCGGGCUAGAUCCGCGCGCGCCCCGCGCCCCCUUCUUCCCCGGCGCCGACUCCGCCCACGCGCCGCCGCACUUUGCCCGACCGGCCGCCGCGACCUCGCCGGCCGGAGUAGGGAGAUGGUGCCCCUCGCCUCCCGUCCUCGCGCAGCUCGCCGCCGUCCGGCCGCGCCCCGGCACGCCUCCUCCGCCGGCCGGAUCCGGCGACCCGGCCCUCUCCGGCGUCCUCCACCUCCUCCCCGAAACUACUCCGGCGAUCUACAGUGAAUCCGGCCGACCUCGGUUUCUGCUCCCGGCCAGAUCCAGAUCUGGAAUUUUGCCUCGGUUGACUUUCUCCCGGAACCCUAAUUAUUACUGCAUUAUUCAUCAUGCCGUAACUUUGCAUCCGUAGCUCCAUUUUGGGCGUGUAGCAUAUCAAAAUGUUCGCUUCAGUGAGUACAUCAUUUCAUCUCAUUGCGUCAUUUUCAUUUGAGCUCAUCUUGAUGCCCGAAAUGCUGUUGGAAGAGUGCUAUUUGAGUUAAUUGUCAGAUCUGCUGCACCAAAUAGCUAUUUGUCAUUUUUGCCAUGUUUAAUGUGUGCAUGAUAUGCUCCUGAGCACUACAUGUGUUUUGUUAUAUGUUUUAUCAUCUUUACAGAGGUGCUAUCCAUGCAUUUUGGUGAUGUGUGUGGUGACUAGAAAAAGCAUGCAAAGUGGUGCAUUCGUUAAUGCUGAUUUCAGGGACUUAGAAAUUGCACUAAGUCCUUGAUCUGUUUUUAUCAAUAUGCCAUAUGUUCAUGUUGUUUCCUAGUGAUCCGUGCCUCUUUUGAGGAUGAUCAUUAAGGGUGAUUUGUUCAUCCGGUAGUGCUAUAUCCAUGCAUGUCUUUGUUUGCAAUUAUGGAGCACCCUAGCUUGAGUCAAUCGAGCUCUACUUUUGCUAUUUCGUGAAUCUGGGCAGAUUGUCUACUUGUUAGCGAUUUUGCCGAGGAUGUCGUAGCUGAUCCGUGCAUACUAUGCUGUUGUUCUUGCCAUGUCUAGCUUGCAUAAUGUGCAUUCUCGAUGGUUGUAUGCUUAGUUUGUCAUGCCUUGCACGGUAGUGAGUGCAUCGAGCUCGUGAACAUGCGUACUCGCUAGGAUAUUUGCAUGCUCCAGUUUUUCACUAAGUCUGAGAUCUGAUUAUGUUUUUGCCAUGUUCAGAUGCUUGCAAUUGUAUUUUCUGAUCCCUUUUGGCUCAAGGUCACUAAGGGACUUUUGUUAAGCUCUUUGAGUAGCCCCAUGCCAUGCCUUGCUUUGCCAUGUUAAGUUCCUGUAGCAUAUAGUUUUCUUGCUCCAAAGUGUGCUACCUGAUCUGAAAUUCCAGGCUAGUGUUAAUUUCACAAAGUCUGAAAUCUGUUUAUCAAUUGCACUUUUGCCAUGAUUGUUUGAACCUGUUAAUGGAUGAAUUGGCUGUAGCUCAGUGUUAAUCUUUUGUCAAGCAUCAUGAGUGUAUCCCUGCCAUGUAUUUUGUUGCCAUGUUCGAGUGCUGUAGCAUAUUUAUCUUGUUGCAUUUAGAUGGCAACAUGCUGUUUAUCGCAGACCGGUGCCAUAUUUGUUUUGCUUGCCAUUUCCAAAUUGUGCAUCCGAUUCCGGCGAUGUCUAUAUCGAUUUCAACUGAAAUCGCCUCACCUUUCCAGUGGCACUCUUGGAUUUCCAAGUUGAGGCCAGGUUCUUUCAUUCCUUGUCAAAGCUUGCAUAUGCAUCACAUAUCGCAUCCCGCAUAGCAUACCAUGUUUGUAUCAUGUUGUUUGAGCUUUGCACAUGGUUGAUUGUGUUCCUCAUGCUUGUUUGUCUUGUUUGGGUAGAGUCGGGAGACGAGUUCGCUAACGAGGAGCCCAUUGAGUUUGCUUUCGAGGAUCCAGUCAACUCUGACAACUUUGUAGGCAAGAUGAUCAGACCCUCGAAAUCACUUCUAUCUUUGCUUUGCUAGAUGCUCGCUCUUUUGCUAUGUCUAUGCUAUGAUGCCUACCACUUGCCUAUCAUGCCUCCCUAAUUUCCAUGUCAAACCUCUAACCCACCAUGUCCUAGCAAACCGUUGAUUGGCUAUGUUACCGCUUUGCUCAGCCCCUCUUAUAGCAUUGCUAGUUGCAGGUGAAGAUUGGAGACUGUUCCUUGUUGGAACAUUACUUUCUUGUUGGGAUAUCACUAUAUUAUCUUGUUAUCUUAAUGCAUCUAUAUACUUGGUAAAGGGUGGAAGGCUCGGCCUUUUGCCUAGUGUUUUGUUCCACUCUUGCCGCCCUAGUUUCCGUCAUAUCGGUGUUAUGUUCCCGGAUUUUGCGUUCCUUACGCGGAUGGGUGAUAAUGAGAACCCCUUGACAGUUCGCCUUGAAUAAAACUCCUCCAACAAUGCCCAACCUUGGUUUUACCAUUUGCCACCUAGCCUCUUUUUCCCUUGGGUUUCCGGAGCCCAAGGGUUAUCUUAUUUUAAACCCCCCCCGGGGCCAGUGCUUCUCUAAGUGUUGGUCCACCUCGUCAGCCGCCGGUGGCCACCAGGGGCAACUCUGGGCUGGCCUAUCGGAAGUUUACACAAUCUGAGUGUGCCAUGAGAACGAGAUAUGUGCAGCUCCUAUCGGGAUUUGUCAGCACAUUCGGGCGGUGUUGCUGGAUUUGUUUUAACUUGUCGAAGUUGUCUUGUAGAAUCGGGAUACCGAGUCUGAUCGGAAUGUCUCGGGAGAAGGUAUAUCCUUCGUUGACCGUGAGAGCUUGUCAUGGGCUAAGUUGGGACUCCCCUGCAGGGAUUUGAACUUUCGAAAGCCGUGCCCGCGGUUAUGGGCAGAUGGGAAUUUGUUAAUGUCCGGUUGUAGAUAACUUGAACCUUAACUUAUUUAAAAUGAAUCAACUGUGUGUGUUACCGUGAUGGUCUCUUCUCGGCGGAGUCCGGGAAGUGAACACAGUGUUGGAGUAAUGUUUGCUGUAGUUUGCUCUCUAGUUCUUCAUUCGUGCUUUGCCUUCUCUUCUCGCUCUCUUUUGCGAAUAAGUUAGCCACCAUAUAUGCUAGUCGCUUGCUGCAGCUCCACAUAUUACCUUGCCUUUCCUAUAAGCUUAAAUAGUCUUGAUCGCGAGGGUGCGAGAUUGCUGAGUCCCCGUGGCUCAUAGAUUACUUCCAAACCAGAUGCAAGGCCCGAUGACUCCGUUCCAGAUGAUGCGCUUGAGCUCAAGUGGGAGUUUGACGAAGACUCACGCCGUUACUAUGUGUCUUUCCCUGAUGAUCAGUACUUUGUGUGAAGUGGCGAGUGUAAGCCAACUAUGUUACCUUUCCCUUUAUUAUCUAUAUUACAUGGGAUGUUGUGAAGAUUACCUUACUUGUGAUAUUGCUUUCAAUGCGGUUAUGCCUCUAAGUCGUGCUCCGACACGUAGGAGAUAUAGCCGCAUCGAGGGCGUUACAAGUUGGUAAUCAGAGCCUUCCCCGAGCUUAGGAGCCCCCACUGCUUGAUCAUUUUUAGCAGCCGUUGUUGAGUCUAGAAAAAAAGUUUUGAGUCAUUUAGGAAUUAUAUAUCGGAGAGUUUAGGAAUUCUUUUUACUCUCUAGUCCCUUCAUCGCUCUGGUAAGGCAUCCUGACGUAGAGUUUUGACUCUUCUCUUCUCAAAUUUCACUAAAAAAAAUUUAGGAUCACGCGGGUAUCUUGGAAUCGUUCCGGUCAAUUUGUGACGAGAACAUUGUUCUUGGUGCCUCCUGUCAUUUAGGGGUUGAGGCAGUGUCCCGAGGAGUUAUGCUCCGAGGUGUUGUCAUCACAAUUUUAUCGUUGCAGUUCUGGAAUACCUGAGUUUAGUUCGCCGACAUCGAAAAUCUCUUUUAUGCAGUUGUUGGUGAGAUAACCUCGACGCCACCCAGUACUGGGCGGGAGUUCGGGAGUAUUGCCAUAACUUGUAUAACGGAUGCUUUUCGAAGGUUGAGGUAGAUGGUUUCCGAAGUUUUUCUCGAUUAUGUGUUGAAGGAUGGAUACAACUGGAUGUAGGAUUUGCUAGAUUCGGGUGAGAUAUUAUGCUUCCCCUGUAUCCCCAACACCUGAUUGCAUAACCGGAAAGGUUCGGGAGUUUCAUAGGUGGGAAUUCUUGUAGCUCUAGCUUUUCUUCCACGGAUAUUUGGUUUGAGAUUGGGAUUUCUUACCGAGUAUUCGUUCUUGCUCCGUACCUUGUUGAUUUAUUCCUCUACUAAAUUCUAAGUGGCUUCUCAAUUUAUGGAUAUGUGACCAUUUCAAUUGGAAUGCAUUCGUUCAUUUUGUUCGGAUGUGAAGACUAUAUGUUGCAAUUUCUACCCAUUGGUUUCAGCUUCAAUUUUAUCUCUCAAUGUGCUAAUGGAUGUCAACCUCUUCAGGAUGGCUCCUCCAACGCGCACGACUCUGAAUCUUGAUCCGCCACUACCACCACCUCCUCCGGGGGCAUGGCAAGCUGUGAUGGCCGCUACCAAUGCAAACACGCAGUUGAUCAUGCAAAUUCUUCAAGAGCGCAAUCAAGCGAACCAAGGCAACCAAGUCAACCAAGGCAACCAAGUCAACCAGGGCAACAAUCAGAAUCACUUUGCUACACUCAACCAGUUCCUUGCUAACCAGCCAAAGACCUUCAGCAAUUGUGUUGAGGCAACUGAUGCUGACGAUUGGCUCGUGGACUUAUGCAAGCAUUUCGAGUGCAGUAACGUCAGGCCUGAGGACUUUGUCAAGUUCGCUUCCUUCCAACCCAAAGACCAAGCUGCAGAAUGGUUCCAACAGUACAAAGAUUCCAGAGGAGGCCGUGUGAUUAUCUGGGAUGAAUUCCGUCAAGACUUCAAAUCUCAUCAUAUUCCUCAGAGCGUGGUUGAAAGCAAGCGUGAGAAAUUCCGCAACCUGAAGCAAGGCUCUUUGUGUGUCUAUGACUACAACAAGUUGUUUCAGAAGCUCGCCCGCUUUGCUAAGCAGGACGUCCCUGACGAGAAGAGCAUGAUAUACCAGUUCAGGGGUGGUCUCAGAGAAGAAAUCCAGCUAGCUCUUGUUCUCUUUGAGCCAUUGAGGUACGAUGAGUUCUACAACAUGGCAUUGAAGCAAGAGGCUGCUCAACUGAAGUGUGAUGCCUCCAAGAAGCGAGUCAGAGAUGCUACUCCUUCUUCCUCUACUCAAGUGGCCAAGCAGCAGAAUUAUUGGCUUCCUCCUCCUCCGUUCCAUCAGCCGUAUCAGCAGAAGAGCAAAUGUGGCAGUGGAUCUUCCCACCCACCCAACCCUGGCUUUCAGAACAAGACUUCGUCUCAAGCUUCAAGAUCGAGUGCUCCGUAUCACCGUCCGCUUUCAGAGGUCACGUGCAACAAGUGCCAAUAGAAGGGUCACUAUGCCAACAAAUGCUUCAAUCAGAGGCGUCUCCCUCCUCCUCCUCAUGUGAGAUCAGCAAGUACAGCUGUGGUCAAGCAUAACCCCAAGUAUUCCAAGGUCAACAUGGUGGAUGCAGCUCAGGCAGAGGACUCGUCAGAUGUCAUCAUGGGUAACCUUCCUGUUAAUGAUGUUCCUGCAAAAGUACUUUUUGACACUGGUGCAUCGCAUUGUUUCAUCUCGAGACCUUUUGCAUCUAAGCAUGGGUGGUAUUCUCAAGUUAUGCAUAAACCAUUAGCAGUUGUCUCUCCGGGUAGAUGCUUGCUCGCAAACUACGAGAUUCCAGAUAUUUCUAUCAUGAUGGGUGAUUUUGAGUUUCUGGCUUCUCCAAUGGUCCUUGGUAACUCGGAUAUUGAUCUUAUUCUCGGAAUGGACUGGCUUUCUAAGCACAAGGCUCAGCUUGAUUGUGCAGCCAGGCAGAUUCAAUUGACUCAUUCGUCUGAGGAUGUAAUUGUCUUUGCUGCUCAGGAUAAUACCAUCCGUCUGUUUUCUCUCAAUGAGAAGGGUGAACUGGAUGCUAUCUCUCAAAUUCUAGUCGUUUGUGAAUAUCAAGACGUCUUUCCAAAAGAGCUUCUAGGAAUGCCUCCGCACUGGCCAGUUGAAUUCGUCAUCGAUCUUGAGCCUGGCACGGAACCGGUUUGCAAGCGUCCUUACAAGCUCGGACCUGAAGAGUUGAAGGAGCUGAAGAAGCAACUCGAUAUUCAAGAGCGAAUGGGUCUCAUCCGACCUAGUUCCUCUCCGUGGGGUUGUGGAGUACUCUUUGUGAAGAAGAAGGAUAGAACGGACCGACUUUGUGUUGACUACCGUCCAUUGAACAAGAAGUCUAUCAAGAACAAGUACCCACUUCCCAACAUCAACGAGUUGUUCGAACAACUCAAAGGUGCCCAAGUAUUCUCCAAGCUUGAUCUCCCUAUGGGUUAUCAUCAGAUUCGAAUCCGCGAGCAAGAUAUUCCCAAGACGACUUUCAGAACAAGGUAUGGUUCAUACGAAUACACUGUCAUGUAUUUUGGCCUCGUCAACGCUGCUCCGACUUUCUCUCGCAUGAUGAACUUCAUCUUCAACGCCUACACAAAUGACUUUGUUUUGGUCUAUCUCGACGACAUUCUGGUCUUUUGGAAGAACAAGUAAGAUCAUGCCAAGCACUUGCGUUUGGUGCUCGAUAAGCUCAGGGAACAUCAGUUCUACGCCAAGUUCUCAAAGUGCGAGUUUUGGCUCGAUGAGGUUCUUUAUCUUGGGCAUAUCAUCUCUGCCAAGGGCAUUGCGGUGAAUCCUGAGAAGGUGUCAGCAAUUGUGAAUUGGGAACCACCUCAGAACGUGAAGCAACUCCGUAGCUUCCUCGGUCUCGCAAGCUACUGUCGAAGGUUCGUUGAGAACUUUUCAAAGAUCACGAAGCCUCUUUCAAACCUUCUCCAGAAGCACGUUAAGUACGUUUGGUCUCCGGAAUGUGACAUCGCUUUCAACACUUUGAAAGAGAAAUUGGUCACUGCUCCAGUUCUGACUCCUCCUGAUGAAUCCAAACCGUUCGAGGUCUUCUGCGAUGCCUCUCUUCAAGGUCUUGGUGCAGUGUUGAUGCAAGAGAAGAAAGUUGUGGCUUAUACCUCUCGCCAGUUGAAGCCCAACGAGAAGAAUUACCCCACUCAUGACCUCGUGUUGGCGGUAGUUGUGCAUGCUCUUUUGACUUGGAGACAUCUCUUAUUGGGAAGAAAAGUGGACAUUUUCACUGACCACAAGAGUCUCAAGUACAUCUUCACUCAGCCUAAUCUCAACCUCAGGCAGACUCGUUGGGUCGAAAUGAUUCAAGAGUAUAAUCCGAGUAUCGAGUAUACUCCAGGCAAGGCCAAUAUGAUUGCUGACGCUUUGAGCAGGAAGGCUUACUACAACAGUCUGAUUCUCAAGCCUUAUCAACCCGAGCUUUGUGAAGCUUUCCGCAAACUUAAUCUGCAAGUUGUUCCUCAAGGUUUCCUCGCCAACCUUCAAGUCUCUCCCACCUUGGAAGACCAGAUUCGCGAGGCUCAACUUCUUGAUGCCAUGGUGAAGAAGGUGAAGAUUGGGAUUGCCAAGAGUCAACACAAGUACAAGUGCUACCGCCUUGAUGACAAGGAUACUCUCUUCUUCGAGGAUCGUAUUGUUGUGCCCAAAGGUGAUCUUCAUAAAGUGAUCAUGAACGAGGCUCACAAUUCACUCCUCUCCAUCCACCCUGGGAGUACGAAGAUGUAUCAGGACCUCAAGCAGGCUUAUUGGUGGACUCAAAUGAAGCGCGAGAUUGCUCAGUUCAUGAAUGAAUGUGAUGUCUACAGAAGAGUGAAGGCAGAACACCAAAGGCCAGCUGGUCUCCUCCAACCUCUUCCAUUCCAGAAUGGAAGUUUGACCACAUUGAGAUGGACUUUGUGACUGGGUUUCCAAAUUCCAAGCGUGGCAAUCAUGCUAUAUUCGUUGUCAUCGACAAACUCACUAAAGUGGCCCACUUUCUGCCUAUCAAAGAGUCUAUCACUGCAGCUCAAUUGGCGGAGCUCUAUACCUCUCGGAUUGUCUCGCUGCACGGUAUUCCACAGGUGAUCUCUUCAGACCAUGGCAGCAUCUUUACCUCCAAGUUGUGGGAUUCUUUUCAGAAGGCCAUGGGCACAAACAUGCGCUUCAACACAGCUUUCCAUCCUCAAACUAGCGGUCAAGUCGAGCGUGUCAAUCAGAUUCUUGAAGAUAUGCUCAGGGCUUGUGUGAUCUCUUUCAGCAUGAAGUGGGAGGUUUGUCUUCCAUAUGCCGAAUUCUCCUACAACAACAAUUUUCAAGCAAGUUCGGGCAAGGCCCCAUUCGAAAUUCUGUUUGGCAGGAAGUGUCGUACCCCACUCAACUGGUCAGAAACUGGCGAACGUCAACUUUUGGGAAAUGACUUAAUCACAGAGGCAGAGGAGAUGUGUAAAGUCAUUUGUGAUAACCUCAAAGCAGCGCAAUCGCGCCAGAAGAGCUACUAUGAUAGUAAGCACCAUGAUUUGGCUUUCAAGAUCGGAGAUCAUGUUUCCCUCCGCGUCUCUCCAAUGAAAGGUACUCAUCGCUUCGGUAUCAAAGGGAAGCUUGCCCCUACAUACGUGGGACCUUUCAAGAUCGUCAGCAAGAGAGGUGACCUCGCCUAUCAACUCGAGCUUCCUUCAAACUUUGCAAAUGUGCAUGACGUGUUCCAUGUCUCUCAGCUCCGCAAGUGCUUCAAGACUCCUGACCGCACCAUCAAUUUCGAAGACAUUGAUCUCCAAGAAGAUCUCUUUUAUCGUGAGCACCCCGUUGCUAUUCUUGAAGAUACUGAACACAAGACUCGCAAUAAGUCAAUCAAAUUCCUCAAAGUCAAGUGGUCACACCAUUCCGACCGUGAAGCCACCUGGGAACGCGAGGAUCACCUCCGUUCUGAGUACCCGGCGUUCUUCCAGUCCUAGAUCUCGGGAUGAGAUCCUUUUGUAGUGGUGGAGUGUUGUAACACACCGGAUGUAAUUUACCCAAUAUGUACUCCAACUCUUGUCGUUCCUGGCGCUAAGUUAUUUUAGUUUCUCGGGUUCGGGUUUUUGUCUCCGUGUGUCAUUGUCAUCAUGUGCAUUGCAUUUCCAUACGUGUUCGUCUCAUGCAUCCGAGCAUUUUCCCCGUUGUCCGUUUUGCAUUCCGGCGCUCCGUUCUCCUCCGGUGGUCAUUUCUACCUUCUUUUCGUGUGUGGGGGUUAAACAUUUCCGAAUUGGACCGAGACUUGCCAAGCAUCCUUGGUUUACUACCGGUAGACCGCCUGUCAAGUUUCGUACCAUUUGGACUUCGUUUGAUGCUUCAACGGUUAACCGAGGGACCAAGAAGGCCUCGUGUGUGUUGCAGCCCAACACCCCUCCAUUUUGGCCCAAAACCCACCAAAACCCUCUCCAUUAUCUAGAGCGUUCGAUCACGAUCGCGUGGCCGAAAACUGCACCUCAUUUGGACACUCCUAGCUCCCUCUAUGCCUAUAAAUAUCACCCCCUUUCGAAAUCACGGUUGAAACCCUAGCCCCCUCCUCCUCCAGCCGCCGGACAAAAUCCGGACGGCCAGACAUUGUCCGCCGCUCGCCCGGACCAACCGCAACUUGCCACGUGGCCCGAGCCCCACAUCGCCGCCUCCUUCCACCGCCGGCCCGAAGCCGGCCCUCCGCCGCACCGCCCGGGCCAGAUCCGCGCGUGCCCCACGCCCCCUUCUUCCCCGGCGACGACUCCGCCCGCGCGCUGCCGCACUUUGCCCGGCCGGCCGCCGCAACCUCGCCGGCCGGAGUAGGGAGACGGCGCCCCUUGCCGCCCGGCCUCGCGCAGCUCGCCGCCGGCCGACCGCGCCCCAGCGCGCCUCCUCCGCCGGCUGGAUCUGGCGACCCGGCCCUCUCCGGCGUCCUCCACCUCCUCCCCGAAGCUACUCCGGCGAUCUACAGUGAAUCCAGCGGACCUUGGUUUCCGCGCCCGGCCAGAUCCAGAUAUGGAAUUUUGCCUCGGUUGACUUUCUCUCGGAACCCUAAUUAUUAUUGCAUUAUUCAUCAUGCCGUAACUUUGCAUCCGUAGCUCCGUUUUGGGCGUGUAGCAUAUCAAAAUGUUCGCUUCAGAGAGUACAUCAUUUCAUCUCAUUGCACCAUUUUCAUUUGAGCUCAUCUUGAUGCCCGAAAUGCUGUUGGAAGAGUGCUAUUUGAGUUAAUUGUCAGAUCUGCUGCACCAAAUAGCUAUUUGUCAUUUUUGCCAUGUUUAAUGUGUGCAUGAUAUGCUCCUGAGCUCUACAUGUGUUUUGGUAUAUGUUUUAUCAUCUUUAGAGUGGUGCUAUCCAUGCAUUUUUUUGAUGUGUGUGGUGACUAUAACAAGCUUGCAAAGUGGUGCAUUCGUUAAUGCUGAUUUCAGGGACUUAGAAAUUCCACUAAGUCCUUGAUCUGUUUUUAUCAAUAUGCCAUAUGUUCAUGUUGUUUCCUAGUGAUCCGUGCCUCUUUUGAGGAUGAUCAGUAAGGGUGAUUUGUUCAUCUGGUAGUUCUCUAUCCAUCCAUGUCUUUGUUUGCAAUUAUGGAGCACCCUAGCUUGAGUCAAUCGAGCUCUACUUUUGCUAUUUGGUGAAUCUGGGCAGAUUGUCUACUUGUUAGCGAUUUUGCUGAGGAUGUUGUAGCUGAUCCGUGCAUGCUAUGUUGUUGUUCUUGCCAUGUCUAGCUUGCAUAAUGUGCAUUCUUGAUGGUUGUAUGAUUAGUUUGUCAUGCCUUGCUCGGUAGUGAGUGCAUCGAGCUCGUGAACAUGCCUACUCGCUAGGAUAUUUGCAUGCUCCAGUUUUUCACUAAGUCUGAGAUCUGAUUAUGUUUUUGCCAUGUUCACAUGCUCGUAAUUGUAUUUUCUGAUCCCUUUUGGCUCAAGGUCACUAAGGGACUUUUGUUAAGCUCUUUGAGUAGCUCAAUGCCAUGCCUUGCUUUACCAUGUUAAGUUCCUGUAGCAUAUAGUUUUCUUGCUCCAAAUGUGCUACCUAAUCUGAAAUUCCAGGCUAGUGUUAAUUUCACGAAGUCUGAAAUCUGUUUAUCAAUUGCACUUUUGCCAUGCUUGUUUGAACCUGUUAAUGGAUGAAUUGGCCAUAUCUCAGUGUUCAUCUUUUGUCAAGCAUCAUGAGUGGAUACCUGCCAUGUAUUUUGUUGCCAUGUUCGAGUGCUGUAGCAUAUUUAUCUUGUUGCAUUUAGAUGGCUACUUGCUGUUUAUCACAGACCAGUGCCAUAUUUGUUUUGCUUGCCAUUUCCAGACCGUGCAUCCGAUUCCGGCGAUCUCUAUAUCGAUUUCACCCGAAAUCGCCUCACCUUUCCAGUGGCACUCUUGGAUUUCCAAGUUGAGGCCAGGUUCUUUCAUUCCUUGUCAAAGCUUGCAUAUGCAUCACAUAUCACAUCCCGCAUAGCAUACCAUGUUUGCAUCAUGUUGUUUGAGCUUUGCACGUGGUUGAUUGUGUUCCUCUUGCUUGUUUGUCUUGUUUGGGUAGAGCCGGGAGACGAGUUCGCUAACGAGGAGCCCGUUGAGUUUGCUUUCGAGGAUCCAGUCAACUCUGACAACUUUGCAGGCAAGAUGAUCAUACCCUCGAAAUCACUUCUAUCUUUGCUUUGCUAGAUGCUCGCUCUUUUGCUAUGCCUAUGCUAUGAUGCCUACCACUUGCCUAUCAUGCCUCCCAAAUUGCCAUGUCAAACAUCUAACCCACCAUGUCCUAGCAAACCGUUGAUUGGCUAUGUUACCACUUUGCUCAGCCCCUCUUAUAGCGUUGCUAGUUGCAGGUGAAGAUUGGAGACCGUUCCUUGUUGGAACAUUACUUUCUUGUUGGGAUAUCACUAUAUUAUCUUGUUAUCUUAAUGCAUCUAUAUACUUGGUAAAGGGUGGAAGGCUCGGCCUUUUGCCUAGUGUUUUGUUCCACUUUUGCCGCCCUAGUUUCCGUCAUAUCGGUGUUAUGUUCCCGGAUUUUGCGUUGCUUACGCGGUUGGGUGAUAAUGGGAACCCCUUGACAGUUCGCCUUGAAUAAAACUCCUCCAGCAAUGCCCAACCUUGGUUUUACCAUCUGCCACCUAGCCUCUUUUUCCCUUGGGUUUCCAGAGCCCAGGGGUCAUCUUAUUUUAAACCCCCCCGGGCCAGUGCUCCUCUGAGUGUUGGUCCACCUCGUCAGCCGCCGGUGGCCACCAGGGGCAACUCUAGGCUGGCCUACCGGAAGUUUAGACAAUCUGGGUGUGCCCUGAGAACGAGAUAUGUGCAGCUCCUAUCGGGAUUUGACGGCACAUUCGGGCGGUGUUGCUGGAUUUGUUUUAACUUGUCGAAGUUGUCUUGUAGAACCGGGAUACCGAGUCUGAUCGGAAUGUCUCAGGAGAAGGUAUAUCCUGCAGGGAUUUGAACUUUCGAAAGCCGUGCCCGCGGUUAUGGGCAGAUGGGAAUUUGUUAAUGUCCGGUUGUAGAUAACUUGAACCUUAACUUAUUUAAAAUGAAUUAACUAUGUGUGUUACCGUGAUGGUCUCUUCUCGGCAGAGUCCGGGAAGUGAACACGGUAUUGGAGUAAUGUUUGCCGUAGUUUGCUCUCUAGUUCUUCGUUCGUGCUUUGCCUUCUCUUCUCGCUCUCUUUUGCGAACAGGUUAGCCACCAUAUAUGCUAGUCGCUUGCUGCAGCUCCACAUAUUACCUUGCAUUUCAUAUAAGCUUAAAUAGUCUUGAUCGCGAGGGUGCGAGAUUGCUGAGUCCCCGUGGCUCACAGAUUACUUCCAAACCAAAUGCAGGGCCCGAUGACUCUGUUCCAGAUGAUGCGCUUGAGCUCAAGUGGGAGUUCGACGAAGACUCACGCCGUUACUAUGUGUCUUUCCCUGAUGAUCAGUAGUGGUGCCCAGUUGGGGCGAUCGGGAGCGUGUCGCAUGUUGGGUUGAUCUUUUAUUUUGGUACCGUAGUCAAACCAUGAUUGUAUUGGUUGAUGUAAUGCUAUUUAUGUACUUUGUGUGAAGUGGCGAGUGUAAGCCAACUAUGUUACCUUUCCCUUUAUUAUCUAUAUUACAUGGGAUGUUGUGAAGAUUACCUUACUUGCGAUAUUGCUUUCAAUGCGGUUAUGCCUCUAAGUCGUGCUCCGACACGUAGGAGAUAUAGCCGCAUCGAGGGCGUUACAUGUCAGCGUAGAGCACCAAGUCCUCGUGAGGAUAGAAAGGGGAGCCGAGCCGAGACAGGACAAGCACCUCGCAUUGAUUCAUAGUAAGGAUAUAAUAUUCAUAAAAGACAUGGCAGACGCCUUACAUACCCCCGCGGGGUGUUGCUUCGAUUCCUCGCAGGGAACAAGAUACUAAUCCUAAGGAACGCUAAUUGCCCGCACUGCCGCAAGGGACGCCAUCAUCAAAAGUGGGCUGCCCAACAUCGACGCCAACCCCAUCCAAAUCAGUGGCGUCGGCGGCUGGAUGCAGCUGCCCCGCUCCGAGCACCGCGCGAGCUCGGGGGCUCGUAGCUGUCGUCGCUCAUCUCCGGAGUUGAGAGGAGCUCGGAGGAGCCACUGGAUUCCCCAGCUCCUCUGCUGCCGCCUAAGGAGCUGCUGGAGGGUCGAUGGGCGAGCCAGGUCCUUGCCGGUUCGUCGCCCGUGCCGCUCUUCCUGGGGCAGCACUCCAGUCGGCGUCCUUCAGCAUCGAAGACCUUGAAGAACAUCAGGGAGGCACCAUCGUAUUCAAGAUGAAUCACGAGGGCACCUACCGUCCGGCAGACCCGGGCAAUUUCGCCCCAGCCCCGGGUCAUGAAGACCUUGCUCGGAGUGACGAACGCGACCUCCGCUCCGGUCGCAAGGGUACCGCAGUCAGCGUGCUGCAGCCAGAGAUCCAGAGCACCACACGGCGGCAUCUCAAAGGCGAAGGAGGGGGGAAGGCGAAUCCAAGAGCUCGGAGGCAUGGUGGCGUGGAGCACGAGCUCGCAAGAGGAGCGCUCGGCGUGGACUCCAGGAGGAAUGACACGCACCACCGUGAAUCGCCGACGUCGACGGCGGCACCGUUGAUGUCGAUCGACGCCUUCUCCCCCAGGACCCAUGACGUGGGCAUACAAGGGUAGCGGAUACCCAGGCAGCGGCCGCUCGUACCAGGGCCUCAGUGCCUCCUGCUGACCACCCUCUUCUCGGUGGCAGAGGACCAGCCGCUUCUUCGGCGGAAGUGGGUUAGGACCCUCUUGGGGGGCCUUUCCCUUCUCUUCUACAGAAAACCGGCGGAUUGGUGCCAUUGGCGUAAGGAGAAGCAAGAACGAAGAAGAAGAAGGAAAGGAGCGGCAGCAAGGGAUGGGCUGAAGGGACUCGUGCAGCCCCGUACUUAUAGCCGGAGGAGGCCAAUUGUCGAGCACCACGAUCGCAGGUAAUCAUGACCAGUUUCUCUGCAUGUAGGGACAUGUCAAGUCAUGCAAUUGCCGAGGCGUCGUGGGGAAGCGUAGACGCCCACGUCCAAUCAAUCGCCAUGCGGCGCCCAAGGCCGCAGGCUGUUAGGGCCCGCGGUGCUUCGCGCUUGCCCCUUCGCUUUCCUGCUAGGCCAAGCCCGGGAGCGCCUUGGGCCCGGGGGCUACUGUCGACGUUCUGGGAACGGGGGUCCCCAGACUUGCCUGCCUGCGGCCUGCGGCGUGGCUCAAGUGGGGGCCCAGCACGGCCCAUCUUCAUCAGCUCAAGCUCAAGACCCUCGCGAGAGGCCAAGCCUUGCGGGGCGGACGACCGGAAGCUUCCUCAGAGGCAGCCUCACCAGGCAGGCUCGCGAGGAGGCGGAGAGAUCAAGGCGGGGAUACCUCGCGAGGAUCCCAUGACGCAAGCCAUGACGAUCGCGACCAAGCAGGCGCCAGGCGGACGCCAGCCUGUGCAGUGUCCUUGUUUCCCCUUUGGUGCAAAGGGGGCAAGCACAUGCCAAGGCAUCGGGCAAAGGUUACCAUUCUGGUGCAACAAGUCCAAGACCAACAGAGCGGCAGGAUGGAGGUCACCGUGGAGCCCAAGACGGCGUCAUCACCAGUGCUUUUGGCAGCCGAAGACCACCUUUGGUCAAGAAAACUUGUACUAGAUGUUCCCCUUCAAAAUGGCGAAUUGUUGGCGCCCUUCCCGCUCAUUAUUUGGGCAGAGGCCUAGGGCCUCUAUAAAUAGAGCUAGCCACCACAGAGUAGAAAGGGGCAGACAAGGAGGGACCGAAAGAGAGAGAGAGAGAGAGAGAGAGAGAGAGAGAGAGGCGACUGAACUCACCCAAGCAGUUCAUCACACCAGCUCAAGAACACCUCUCGCGAGGUUGUUCUUCCCUUGUACUGCUCGUCAUCAGCCCCUGAGGCAAUCCACCACACCACACACUGGAGUAGGGUAUUACACCACAACGGUGGCCCAAACCAGUAUAAAUCUCGUGUCCCUUGUGUUGUUCGUUGUUUCCAGCUUAGAUCACGCGAGGAGAUUGGACAUAGAUUGGUAGGGGAGAGAUCUCUGCGCGCACCCCAAUGUUCGAACCUCAAGGGUCUGCCGGAACCCGAAAUCCGACAACUGGCAGGAGCCAUAUGGUUGUCGCUUUAUUGUAUGAAAUGCAAUUGCCAUGUAAUUGCUUUACUUUAUCACUAAGCGGUAGCGAUAGUCAUGGAGGCAAUAGUUGGCAUGAAGACAACGAUGCUUCAAUGGAGAUCAAGGUGUCAAGCCGGUGAUAAUGGUGAUCAUGACGGUGCUUUGGAGAUGGUGAUCACAGACACAAGAUGAUGAUGGGCAUAUCAUAUCACUUAUAUUGAUUGCAUGUGAUGUUUAUCUUUUAUGCAUCUUAUUUUGCUUAGAUCGACGGUAGCAUUAUAAGAUGAUCUAUCACUAAAUUUCAAGGUAUAAGUGUUCUCCCUGAGUAUGCACCAUUGCAAAAGUUCGUCGUGCCGACACACCACGUGAUGAUCGGGUGUGAUAAGCUCUACGUUCACAUACAACGGGUGCAAGCCAGUUUUGCACAUGCAGAAUACUCAGGUUAAACUUGAUGAGCCUAGCAUUUGUAGAUAUGGCCUCGGAACAUUGAGACCGAAAGGUCGAGCGUGAAUCAUAUAGUAGAUAUGAUCAACAUAGUGAUGUUCACCAUUGAAAACUACUCCAUCUCACGUGAUGAUCAGACAUGGUUUAGUUGAUAUGGAUCACAUGAUCACAUUAAUGAUUAGAGGGAUGUCUGUCUAAGUGGGAGUUCUUAAGUAAUAUAAUUAAUUGAACUUUAAUUUAUCAUGAACUUAGUCCUGAUAGUAUUUGCAUAACUAUGUUGUAGAUCAAUAGCUCGCGAUGUUGCUCCCCAUUUAUUUUUGAUAUGUUCCUAGAGAAAAACUAAGUUGAAAGAUGUUAGUAGCAAUGAUGCGCAUUAGAUCCGUGAUCUAAGGAUUAUCCUCAUUGCUGCACAGAAGAAUUAUGUCCUUGAUGCACCCCUAGGUGACAGACUGAUUGCAGGAGCAGAUGCAGACGCUAUGAACAUUUGGCGAGCUCGACAUGAUGACUACUUGAUAGUUUAGUGCACCAUGCUUUAUGACUUAGAAUCGGGUCUUUAAAGACGUUUUGAAUGCCACAGAGCAUAUGAGAUGUUUAAACAGUUGAAAUUACUAUUUCAGACUCAUUCCCAUGUCGAAAGGUAUGAGACCUUUGACAAGAACUUUGCCUACAAGAUGGAGGAGAAUAUCUCAGCUAGUGAGCAUGUGCUCAGAAUGUCUGAGUACUACAAUCACUUCAAUCAAGUGGGAGUUAAUCUUCCAGAUAAGAUAGUGAUUGACAGAGUUCUCUAGUCACUAUCACCAAGUUACUGGAACUUCGUGAUGAACUAUAAUAUGUAAGGGAUGGAUAAGACGAUUCCCGAGCUCUUCGCAAUGCUAAAGGCUGUGAAGGUAGAAAUCAAGAAAGAGCAUCAAGUGUUGACGGUCAACAAAACCACCAGUUUUAAGAAAAAUGGUAAAGGAAAGAAGGGGAACUUCAAGAAGAACGGCAAGCAAGUUGUUGCUCAAGUGAAGAAACCGAAGUCUGGACCUAAGCCUGAAACUGAGUGCUUCUACUACAAAGGGACUGGUCACUGGAAGCGGAACUGCCCCAAAUAUUUGGCGGAUAAGAAUGAUGGCAAGGUGAACAAAGGUAUAUGUCAUAUACAUGUUAUUGAUGUGUACCUUACUGAUGCUCGCAGUAGGACCUGGGUAUUUGAAACUGGUUCUGUUACUAAUAUUUGCAACUCGAAAUAGGGGCUACGGAUUAAGCGAAGAUUGGCUAAGGACGAGGUGAUGAUGUGCGUGGGAAAUGGUUCCAAAUUCGAUGUGAGUGCGGUCAGCACGCUACCUCUACAUCUACCUUCAGGAUUAAUUUUAGACCUGAAUAGUUGUUAUUUUGUGCCAGCGUUGAGCAUGAACAUUAUAUGUGGAUCUUGUUUGAUGCGAGACGGUUAUUCAUUUAAAUAUGAGAAUAAUGGUUGUUCUAUUUAUAUGAGUAAUAUCUUUUAUGGUCAUGCACCCUUGAAGAGUGGUCUACUUUUGAUGAAUCUCGAUAGUAGUGAUACACAUAUUCAUAAUAUUGAAGCUAAAAGAUGUAGAGUUGAUAAUGAUAGUGCAACUUAUUUGUGGCACUGCCGUUUAGGUCAUAUUGGUGUAAAGUGCAUGAAGAAACUCCAUUUUGAUGGGCUUUUGGAAUCACUUGAUUAUGAAUCAGUUGAUGCUUGUGAACCAUGCCUCAUGGGCAAGAUGACUAAGACUCCAUUCUCCGGAACAAUGGAGCGAGCAAGAGACUUGUUGGAAAUAAUACAUACUAAUGUAUGCAGUGCGAUGAGUGUUGAGGCUCGCGGAAGGUAUCGUUAUUUUCUGACCUUCAUAGAUGAUUUGAGUAAGAUAUGGGUAUAUCUUCUUGAUGAAACAUAAAUCUGAAGCAUUUGAAAAGUUCAAAUAAUUUCAGAGUGAACUGGAAAAUCAUCGUAACAAGAAAAUAAAGUUUCUAUGAUAUGAUCGUGGAGGAGAAUAUUUGAGUUACGAGUUUGGUCUUCAUUUGAAACAAUGCGGAAUAGUUUUGCAACUCACGCCACCUGGAACACCACAACAUAAUGGUGUAUCCGAACAUCGUAACCGUACUUUAUUAGAUAUGGUGUAAUUUAUGAUGUCUCUUACCGAUUUACCACUAUCGUUUUGGGGUUAUGCAUUAGAGACAGCUACACUCAUGUUAAAUUGGGCACCAUCUAAAUCCGUUGAGACGACGCCAUAUGAAUUGUGGUUUGGCAAGAAACCAAAGUUGUCGUUUCUUAAAGUUUGGGGUUGGGAUCCUUACGUGAAAAAGUUUCAUCCUAAUAAGCUCAAACCCAAAUCGGAGAAAUGUGUCUUCAUAGGAUACCCAAAGGGACAGUUGGGUACACCUUCUAUCACAGAUCCGAAGGAAAGAUAUUUGUUGCUAAGAAUGGAUCCUUUCUAGAGAAGGAGUUUCUCUCGAAAGAAGUGAGUGGGAGGAAAGUAGAACUUGAUGAGGUAACUGUACCUGCUCCAUUAUUGGAAAGUAGUUCAUCACAGAAAUCUGUUCCUAUAACUCAUACACCAAUUAGUGAGGAAGCUAAUGAUGAUGAUCAUGUAGCUUCAGAUCAAGUUACUACCGAACCUCGUAGGUCAACCAGAGUGAGAUCCGCACCAGAGUGGUACAGUAAUCCUGUUCUGGAUGUCAUGUUACUUGACCAUGACGAACCUACGAACUAUGAGGAAGCGAUGAUGAGCCUAGAUUCCACGAAAUGGCUUGAGGCCAUGAAACCUGAGAUGGGAUCCAUGUAUGAGAACAAAGUAUGUAAUUUGAUUGACUUGUCCGAUGAUCGGUGAGUCAUUAAGAAUAAAUGGAUCUUCAAGAGGAAGACGGACGCUGAUAGUAGUGUUACUAUCUUCAAAGCUUGAAUUGUCGCAAAAUGUUUUGGACAAGUUCAAGGUGUUGACUACAAUGAGAUUUUCUCACUCGUAUCGAUGCUUAAAAGUCUGUCCGAAUCAUGUUAGCAGUUGCCGUGUUUUAUGAAAUCUGGCAAAUGGAUGUCAAAACUGUAUUCCUUGAUGGAUUUCUUAAAGAAGAGUUGUAUAUGAUGCAACCAGAAGGUUUUGUCGAUCCUAAAGGUGCUAACAAAGUGAGCAAGCUCCAGCGAUCCAUCUAUGGACUGGUGCAAGCACUCGGAGUUGGAAUGUAUGCUUUGAUAAAGUGAUCAAAGCAUAUGGUUUUGUACAGACUUGCGGUGAAGCCUGUAUUUACAAGAAAGUGAGUAUGAGCAGUACAACAUUUCUGAUAAGUAUAUGUGAAUGACAUAUUGUUGAUCGGAAAUAAUGUAGAAUUUUCUGGAAAGCAUAGAGGAGUGUUUGAAAAGAGUUUUUCAAAGAAAGACCUCGAUGAAGCUACUUACACAUUGAGCAUCAAUAUCUAUAGAGAUAGAUCAAGACGCUUGAUAAGUUUUUUCAAUGAGUACAUACCUUGACAAGACUUUGAAGUAGUUCAAAAUGGAACAGUCAAAGAAGGAUUUCUUGCCUAUGUUGCAAGGUGUGAAGUUGAGUAAAGACUCAAAACCCGACCAUAGCAGAAAAUAGUAAGAGAAUGAAAAGUCAUUCCCUAUGCCUCAGUCAUAGGUUCUAUAAAGUAUGAUAUGCUGUUUACCAGUCCUAUUGUAUACCUUACCAUCAUUCUGGCAAGGGAGUACACUAGUGAUCUAGGAGUAGAUCACUGGACACCGGUCAAAAUUAUCCUUAGAGGACUAAGGAAAUAUUUCUCGGUUAUGGAGGUGAUAAAAGAGUCCGUCGUAAAGCGUUACGUUGAUGCAAGCUUUUUACAUCGACCUAGAUUACUCUAAGUCUCGAUCUGGAUACAUAUUGAAAGUGGGAGCAAUUAGCUAGAGUAGCUCCGUGCAGAGCAUUGUAGACAUAGAAAUUUGCGAAAUACAUACGGGUCUGAAUGUUGCAGUCCCAUAGGCUAAACUUCUCUCACAAGCAAAACAUGAUCACUCUUUGGGUGUUAAUCACAUAGCGAUGUGAAUUAGAUUAUUGACUCUAGUAAACCCUUUGGGUAUUAUUCACAUGGAGAUGGGAACUAAUCACAUAAAGAUGUGAACUAGAAUAUUGACUCUAGUGCAAGUGGGAGACUGAAGGAAAUAUGCCCUAGAGGCAAUAAUAAAGUUAUUAUUUAUUUCCUUAUAUCAUGAUAAAUGUUUAUUGUUCUUGCUAGAAUUGUAUUAACCGGAAACUUAGUACAUGUGUGAAUACAUAGAUAAAAAGAGUGUCACUAGUAUGCCUCUACUUGACUAUCUCGUUAAAUCAAAGAUGGUUAAGUUUCCUAGCCAUAGACAUGAGUUGUCAUUUGAUUAACGGGGUCACAUCAUUAGAGAAUGAUGUGAUUGACUUGACCCAUUCUGUUAGAUUAGCACGAUGAUCGUUUAUUUGUUGCUACUGCUUUCUUCAUGACUUAUACAUGUUCCUCUGACUAUGAGAUUAUGCAACUCUUGAAUACCGAAGAACACUUUGUGAACUACCAAACGUCACAACAUAACUGGGUGAUUAUAAAGGUGCUCUACAGGUGUCUCUGAUGGUACUUGUCGAGUUGGCAUAGAUCGAGAUUAGGAUUUGUCACUCCAAUUGUUGGAGAGGUAUCUCUGGGCCCUCUCGGUAAUGCACAUCACUAUAAGCCUUGCAAGCAAUGUGACUAAUGAGUUAGUUGCGGGAUGAUGCAUUACGGACCGAGUAAAUAGACUUGCCGGUAACGAGACUGAACUAGGUAUUGAGAUACUGAUGAUCGAAUCUCGGGCAAGUAACAUACCGAUGACAAAAGGAACAACGUAUACCGUUAUGCGGUUUGACCGAUAAAGAUCUUCAUAGAAUAUGUAGGAGCCAAUAUGAGCAUACAGGUUCCGCUAUUGGUUAUUGACCAGAGAUGAGUCUCGGUCAUGUCUAGAUAGUUCUCGAACCCGUAGGGUCCACACGCUUAACGUUCGGUGACGAUCAGUAUUAUGAGUUUAUGUGUUUUGAUGUACCGAAGGUUGUUCGGAGUCCCGGAUGAGAUCAGAGACAUGACGAGGAGUCUCGAAAUGUUCGAGACGUAAAGAUUGAUAUAUUGGAAGGCUAUAUUCGGACAUCGAAAAGGUUCUGAGUGUUUUGGGUAUUUAUCGGAGUACCGGAGAGUUACGGGAAUUCGUCAGGGUGUAUAUGGGCCUUAUUGGUCUUUAGGGGAAAGAGAGAGGGGAGGCUGCGCGCCCCCCAAGGCCUAGUCCAAAUUGGACUAGGGGGAAGGCGGCGCCCCCUCCUUCUUUCUCUUCUCUUUUCCCUUUCCUUCUCUCCUACUCCUACUACUUGGAAGGGCUCCUAGUUCUACUAGGAAAGGGGGAAUCCUACUCCCGGUGGGAGUAGGACUCCCCUAGGGCGUGCCAUAGAGAGGGCCGGCCCCUCCCCUCCUCCACUCCUUUAUAUACAUGGAAGGGGGGAAUCCUACUCCCGAUGGGAGUAGGACUCCCCAGGGCGCGCCAUAGUAGAGGGCCGGCCCUCCCCCUCCUCCACUCCUUUAUAUACAGGGGAGGGGGCACCCCAUGAUCGACAAAAGUUGAUCAUUUUAUCUUUUAGCCGUGUGCGGUGCCCCUCUCCACCAUAAUCCACCUCGGUCAUAUCAUAGCAGUGCUUAGGCGAAGCCCUGCGUAGGUAGCAUCAUCACACCAUCGUGCUGACGGAACUCUCCCUCGAAGAUCUGCUGGUUCGGAGUUCGUGGGACAUCACCGAGCUGAACGUGUGCUGAACUUAGAGGUGACGUACGUUCGGUACUUGGAUCGGUCAGAUCGUGAAGACGUACGACUACAUCAACUGCGUUCUCAUAACGCUUCCGCUUAUGGUCUAUGAGGGUAUGUGGACGACACUCUCCCCUCUCGUUGCUAUGCAUCACCAUGAUCUUGCGUGUGUGUAGGAUUUUUUUGAAAUUACUACGUUCCCCAACAAAAAGAUAGACCCGGGGGCCAUAGGUUUCACUAGUGGCUUCUCUUAAGAUAGCAUAAGUAUUACAGUGGGUGAACAAAUUGUUGUCGAGCAAUUGACAGAAAAGGGAAUAAUUAUGAGAAUAUCUAGGCAUGGUCAUGUAUAUAGGCAUCACGUCUGCGACAAGUAGACCGAAGCGAUUCUGCAUCUACUACUAUUACUCCACACAUCGACCGCUAUCCUGCAUGCAUCUAGAGUAUUAAGUUCAUAAGAACAGAUAAUGCAUUAGGAAAGAUGACAUGAUGUAGAGGGAUAAACUCAAGCAAUAUGAUAUAAACCCCAUCUUUUUAUCCUCGAUGGUAACAAUACAAUACGUGCCUUGCUGGCCCUGCUAGCAUUGGGAAAGGACACCGCAAGAUUGAACCCAAAGCUAAGCACUUCUCCCAUUGCAAGAAAGAUCAAUCUAGUAGGCCAAACCAAACUGAUAAUUCGAAGAGACUUGCAAAGAUAACAAAUCAUACAUAAGGGAUUUCAAAGAAGAAUCAAAUAUUUUUCAUAGAUAAACUUGAUCAUAAACCCACAAUUCACCGGAUCUCGGCAAACACACCGCAAAAAGAGUUACAUCAAAUAGAUCUCCAAGAAGAUCGAGGAGAACAUCGUAAUGAGAUCCAAAGAGAGAGAAAAAGCCAUCUAGAUAAUAACUAUGGACCCGAAGGUCUGUGGUAAACUACUCACACAUCAUCAGAGAGGCUAUGGUGUUGAUGUAGAAGCCCUGCGUGAUAGAUUCCCCCUCCGGCGGAGCUCCAGAAAAGGCCCCAAGAUGGGAUCUCUUGGGUACAUAAGGUUGCGGCGGUGGAAAUAGGGUUUCGUGGUGCUCCUGGAUGUUUUGGGGGUAUAUGGACAUAUAUAGGAGGAAGAAGUAGGUCGGUGAAGCUACGAGGGGCCCACGAGGGUGGGGGCGCGCCCAGGGGGGAGCCGCGCCUCCCUUCCUAUUGGCCUCCUCAUUGAUUUCUUGACGUCUACUCCAAGUCCCCUGGAUCAUGUUUGUUCCAAAAAUAACUCUCCCGAAGGUUUCAUUCCAUUUGAUAUUCCUUUUCUGCGAAACACUGAAAUAGGCAAAAACAACAAUUUGCACUGGGUCUUGGGUUAGCAGGUUAGUCCCCAAAAUAAUAUAAAAGUGUUGUAUUAAUACUUUUGAAAGGUGUUUUAUUUGCUCGGAGUUCCCGUUUGAUACCCGAUAAAGCAAAUCUAGGUUUUCGCUUUCCUUGCGAUGGGCCUGGCCGAGGGGGAACAUGUCAAGUAUCCGCCUGGGAUCAUGUUUUCUUAGGUUUAUUCUGGAUGUACAAUGCAAUUUCGGUAGUCAUUUUCCAUUUCAGUUGGAAAAUGCAGUCGGAUGUUUGGGGUACUAUAAGUGAUCAAGGGGUGGUAACUCAUAUUACAGGGGGAAACUUUGCACAGAGUUCCAUUACGAUUAAUGGGUGGCUUCGAGAUUUCUUGUGGGCACAGGCAUCGCAAGUCAUUCAGUCUUAUGGUUCUUCAUUAUCUGCAUAUGGUCUUUUUUUCUUAGGUGCUCAUUUUGUCUGGGCCUUCAGUUUAAUGUUUUUAUUCAGCGGCCGUGGUUAUUGGCAAGAACUCAUUGAAUCUAUCGUUUGGGCUCAUAACAAAUUAAAAGUUGCUCCUGCUACUUAGCCUAGAGCCUUGAGCAUUAUACAAGGACGCGCUGUAGGAGUAACCCAUUACCUUCUGGGUGGAAUUGCCACGACAUGGGCAUUCUUCUUAGCGAGAAUUAUUGCAGUAGGAUAGUGGCUAGGAGGAUUUGAAAGGCAUUAUGGAAUUAAGAUUUCCCAGGUUUAGCCAAGGCUUAGCUCAGGACCCCACUACUCGUCGUAUUUGGUUUGGUAUUGCUACCGCACAUGAUUUCGAAAGUCAUGAUGAUAUUACUGAAGAACGUCUUUAUCAGAACAUUUUUGCUUCUCACUUUGGGCAAUUAGCAAUAAUCUUUCUAUGGACGUCCGGAAAUCUGUUUCAUGUAGCUUGGCAAGGAAAUUUUGAAUCAUGGAUACAGGAUCCUUUACACGUAAGACCUAUUGCUCAUGCGAUUUGGGAUCCUCAUUUUGGUCAACCCGCUGUGGAAGCCUUUACUCGAGGAGGUGCUGCUGGUCCAGUGAAUAUUUCUUAUUCUGGAGUUUAUCAGUGGUGGUAUACAAUAGGAUUACGCACCAAUGAGGAUCUUUAUACUGGAGCUCUUUUUCUAUUAUUUCUUUCUACGCUGUCCUUAAUAGCGGGUUGGUUACAUCUAAAACCCAAAUGGAAACCAAGCCUUUCGUGGUUCAAAAACGCGGAAUCUCGUCUCAAUCAUCAUUUGUCAGGACUUUUCGGGGUAAGUUCUUUGGCUUGGACAGGACAUUUAGUUCAUGUUGCUAUUUCCGCAUCCAGGGGGGAGUACGUUCGAUGGAAUAAUUUCUUAGAUGUAUUACCCUAUCCCCAGGGGUUGGGACCCCUUUUGACGAGUCAAUGGAAUCUUUAUGCCCAAAACCCUGAUUCGAGUAAUCAUUUAUUUGGUACCGCUCAAGGAGCCGGAACUGCCAUUCUAACUCUUCUUGGGGGAUUCCAUCCACAAACACAAAGUUUGUGGCUGACCGAUAUGGCUCACCAUCAUUUAGCUAUUGCAUUUAUUUUUCUCAUUGCCGGUCACAUGUAUCGAACUAUCUUCGGAAUUGGGCACAGUAUUAAAGAUCUUUUAGAAGCGCAUACUCCUCCGGGGGGUCGAUUAGGGCGUGGGCAUAAGGGCCUUUAUGACACAAUCAACAAUUCGAUUCAUUUUCAGUUAGGUCUUGCUCUAGCUUCUUUAGGGGUUAUUACUUCCUUAGUAGCUCAACAUAUGUACUCUUUACCUCCUUAUGCAUUCAUAGCACAAGACUUUACUACUCAAGCUGCUUUAUAUACUCAUCACCAAUAUAUUGCAGGGUUCAUCAUGACAGGGGCUUUUGCUCAUGGAGCUAUUUUUUUCAUUAGGGAUUACAAUCCGGAACAGAAUGAGGAUAAGGCAUUGGCAAGAAUGUUAGACCAUAAAGAAGCUAUCAUAUCUCAUUUAAGUUGGGCUAGCCUCUUUCUAGGAUUCCAUACCUUGGGCCUUUAUGUUCAUAACGACGUCAUGCUUGCUUUUGGUACUCCAGAAAAACAAAUCUUGAUCGAACCUAUAUUUGCCCAAUGGAUACAACCUGCUCAUGGCAAGACGACAUAUGGGUUUGAUAUACUCUUAUCUUCAACGAAUGGCCCCGCUUUCAAUGCGGGUCGAAGCCUAUGGUUGCCCGGAUGGUUGAAUGCUGUUAAUGAGAAUAGUAAUUCGCUUUUCUUAACAAUAGGACCUGGGGAUUUCUUGGUUCAUCAUGCUAUUGCUCUAGGUUUGCAUACAACUACAUUGAUUUUAGUAAAGGGCGCUUUAGAUGCACGCGGUUCCAAAUUAAUGCCGGAUAAAAAGGAUUUUGGAUAUAGUUUUCCUUGUGACGGCCCAGGGCGCGGCGGUACUUGUGAUAUUUCUGCUUGGGACGCAUUUUAUUUGGUAGUUUUCUGGAUGUUAAAUACCAUUGGGUGGGUUACUUUUUAUUGGCAUUGGAAACAUAUCACAUUAUGGCAGGGCAACGUUUCACAAUUUAAUGAAUCCUCCACUUAUUUGAUGGGAUGGUUAAGAGAUUACCUAUGGUUAAACUCUUCACAACUUAUCAAUGGAUAUAAUCCUUUUGGGAUGAAUAGUUUAUCGGUAUGGGCGUGGAUGUUCUUAUUUGGACAUCUUGUUUGGGCUACUGGAUUUAUGUUCUUAAUUUCCUGGCGGGGGUAUUGGCAGGAAUUAAUUGAGACUUUAGCAUGGGCUCAUGAACGCACACCUUUAGCUAAUUUAAUUCGCUGGAGAGAUAAGCCCGUGGCUCUUUCCAUUGUGCAAGCAAGAUUGGUUGGAUUAGCUCACUUUUCCGUGGGUUAUAUAUUCACUUAUGCAGUUUUCUUGAUUGCCUCAACAUCAGGCAAGUUUGGUUAAUUUAGUUUGUUUUUUUGUACUGUAUCAGCACCUAGUUCAUUACUCUUGAUAGAGAGGUAGGAUCUGCCUUUUUAGAUUUCUUUUUCUAUUUAUUUUUCCAUCUAGGAUUAGAACCGUAUACUUGGUAAUAAUAGCAACGACACAUUAUGGCAAAAAAAAGUUUGAUUUAGAGGGAGAAGAAGCGGCAGAAAUUAGAACAGAAAUAUCAUUUGAUUCGCCAAUCUUUAAAAAAAAGAUAAGAAGCAAAGUUUCUCCCUUGAGUUUGAGUGAAAAAACUAAAAUGCGAGAAAAAUUGCAAUCCCUACCGCGUAAUAGUGCACCUACACGCCUUCAUCGACGUUGUUUUUUGACCGGAAGACCUAGAGCUAACUAUCUACAUUUUGGGCUAUCCGGACACGUACUUCGAGAAAUGGUUUAUGAAUGUUUGUUACCGGGUGCAACAAGAUCCAGUUGGUAAGGAUAAAAUACCCUUUCGUAUUUGUAUGGAUUUCUGGAAUUGAUAAUCAUAGAGGAGCCCUCUUUACCAUUCUGUAUAAAUGGACUAUUCUAUUUGUAUAGAUAUUGGUAGAGGGGCGUAUCCAACCCUCUUUUAUCCACUAGUUACCCCUCUUUAGUUUAAGAGUAUAGAGCAGUUUGGUAGCUCAUAAGGCUCAUAACCUUGGGGUUGCGGGUUCGAUUCCCACUACCGGCUCCAUACUCCUUCUUUAUGAUAUAUGCAUGAUAUAAUAUAUACAUCAUGCAUUUGUAUCUGGAUUUUUUGAUUUCCUAAAAGAGUUUUGGUCUAACAGUUUUUUCUCGGAAGAAGAAAAUAAAAUAAAAGAAAGAAUAAAAUAUGAAAGAAAAGCGUCCAUUGUCUAAUGGAUAGGACAGAGGUCUUCUAAACCUUUGGUAUAGGUUCAAAUCCUAUUGGACGCAAUCUUAUUUCUAUCUAUUCUUUAAAUAACUAUACUAAACUAAAAACAAAGAAAACUUUUUUGCAUGAUUCAAAUGAAAAAUCUUUCUCAACGAUUCCUAUUCUACUAACAAGAGUAGACAUGCAAAAUUUAUUUGUUACUAAAGAGAAAACCAUUCCAGCUGUUCCUGAAUAGCUUCCUUCAAAAGGAUUUCCGCUUGCUCGGUGAAUGUCUUGCUAGAAGAUAUAAUUUCUUGGAAUUGAGGUUUAGUAUCUUUUAGAUGUUUACGUAACUCAUCCAGAAAUUUAUUUACCUAUUCAAUUUCUAACGAAUCAAGAUAUCCUCUUGUUCCGGUAUAAAUAGUAGCUAUCUGCUCUUCCACUGGGAGAGGAUUUGCCUGGGAUUGUUUAAGCAAUUCCCUUAAUCAUCGACCCCUUGCCAAUUGAUUCUGACUUGUUUUAUCGAGAGCAGAGGCGAAUUGUGCAAAGGCUUGUAACUCUGCGAAUUGAGCUAGUUCCAAUUUUGAUUUGCCAGCUACUUGUUUCAUGGCUUUAAUUUGAGCCGCGGAUCCUACUCUGGAAACAGAAAUACCCACAUUAAUAGCGGGUCGAAUUCCGGCAUUGAAUAGAUCCGCAGAUAAGAAUAUUUGUCCAUCUGUAAUGGAGAUUACAUUAGUAGGAAUAUAGGCGGAAACGUCUCCAGAUUGAGUCUCAACUAUUGGUAAAGCGGUCAUACUUCCUUUGCCUAAAAGAGAAUUUAAUUUAGCGGCUCUUUCUAAAAGGCGUGAAUGCAAAUAAAAAACAUCCCCUGGAUAAGCCUCACGGCCGGGAGGUCUUCUUAAUAGAAGGGACAUUUGGCGAUAAGCUUGUGCCUGUUUGGAGAGAUCAUCAUAAAUUAUUAAAGUAUGCCAUUCGCGGUACAUAAAAUACUCAGCCAGGGCUGCUCCCGUAUAAGGCGCGAGGUAUUGUAAUGUAGCAGGUGAAUCCGCCAUCUCAGCUACUACAAUAGUGUAUUCCAUGGCCCCCUCCUCAUGGAAAGUAGUUACUACUUGAGCUACGGAGGAUGCUCUUUGACCGAUAGCUACAUAAACACAUAUUACACCUUCCCCUUUUUGAUUGAGAAUUGUAGCUGUGGCUACUGCUGUUUUGCCAGUCUGUCUGUCCCCAAUAAUUAACUCUCGCUGACCGCGCCCUAUAGGGAUCAUCGAAUCGAUAGCAAUAAGCCCUGUUUGAAGAGGUUCGUAUACGGAACGCCUGGAAAUUAUACUUGGAGCAGGAGAUUCAAUUAAGCGAGAUUCGGAAGCUAUAAUUUCGCCUUUCCCAUCAAUAGGUUUAGCCAGAGCAUUUACAACACGACCCAAGUAAGCCUCACUCACGGGUAUCUGAGCAAUUCUUCCUGUUGCUUUUACAAAACUUCCCUCUUAUAUCAUCAACCCAUCGCCCAUUAAUACAAUCCCAACAUUUUUGGAUUCCAAAUUCAGAGCAAUACCCCUAGUACCUUCUGAAAAUUCGACUAAUUCACCUGACAUUAUUUCACCAAGACCUAUAAUACGAGCAAUCCCAUCCCCCACUUGAACUACGCGACCUAUAUUCUCAAUCCCUACUUUCCUAUUAUAUUGUUCAAUACGUUCGCGGAGAAAUUUAUGAAUUUCGUUGACUCGAAGGGUUGCCAUUAGUGUUUCUUGACUCUUUUUUCGGAAGCAAGGGGAAAAAUAAUGCCUAAAUUCUAAACAAAAGUAGAAGUUCAAGGCCUAAUUAAUUUAAUUAUCUCUUCCAUUCCAGGGACCCGAGAAUGCCAAUAUUAGCACGAAUCGUACGGAAAUGUAACUCGGUAUUCAAACAACUAUUCAGAGUUCCUAGAGCUCCUUGUACGGCCUGUUGGAAAACCCGCUGUCGGACCUGAUUCAUUGCCCUUUGUUUUUCAAAAUAAAGGGUUUCGUUUUUAGACUUUUCCAAUUGUUCCAAACUAAUAGAAGUAGCAUUAAUCAAAUUUGCUUUUUCUCGUUCUAUCUCAGAGUAUCCAUUUAUUCGAUACUCAUCCGCUUCUAGUUCGACUUUCUGUAAUCGAAUCUGAGCUUUUUCGAGUUGCUCAAUGGUCCCUCUACGCAAUUCUUCUGAAUUUCGAAUAGUACUCAAGAUCCUCUGUUUUCGAUUAUCUAAUAAAUCUUUUAAUGAAAGUAGAUUAUUUUGUAAGUUUACAACUUUUAUGAUCUCUUCCCGAACCAAACAUGAAUCUUUCGAUUCAUUUGGCUCUCACGCUCCUUAUUUUUUUUCUAUAGCUAUUUCCAUAUCUUUUUUUAAGUAAUGAGCCUAUCCUUUAUCUUCUUUUUUAUGUUUAUAUUUCAAUAUACCGAAACCUAUAUAAGACUAGAUAAAUAUUAAGAGGACUCUUCCGCCUAGAUAAAAAUAUAUCAUGGUCAGCAAAGUUGUUUCUUUAUUUUUAUUUGCCCUCUUUAAUAAUUUCAAUUUCAUUAAGAAAAACUAACUAAAUAAAUGGAAAAUGAAAAUUAAUAGAAUUCUUUUUUUUCUUCAAAUCCAAAAAAUUUCUCUUUUUUAUACAUAGGUCGUCGAUUCGGCAUUGGUUAAAAAAGGGCAGGGUGCCCCCUUUUUUUCUAGUAAAUAGUUCAAACCAUUUUAUCGAUAUGAGUGUUCUAUAUCAGAUAAAUUUUACAUUAGCUAUUUCCCGUUUAAAUUCGGUACUAAUACUAAUAUAGUUGUAGAAAGAGUACCUCUUUUUGCCUGGACUUCAAGCAGUUUAGCUUUAACCGUGUUAAUGGUCUCACAUUCUUGGUUUAUAGAGAAUCAAAGUUGAUUUACCAAUGAGUCGCGAAAUGCUAUGGUUCUUCCAUAUGAUUUCUGAAUUUAUUCAGAAGUAAUUCGUCGAGAUCGUGCACCCUUUUCUUAUUUAUCCGAAAAAUACUAAAAAAUAUUAUAAAGUGCAGCCGGAUAGAUCCAAUCUAUUCUUGAAAUAGACAACUCGCACACACUCCCUUUCCAAAAAAAAUCAAAACACCAACCACUACAGUUAGAUUUAUUCGAUUUGUUGCUAAAAUAUCGGUAUUAAGCCCGAAACUGCCAGCGGAUGGCCAGUGAGCUAAAAAAACGAAAGAAUGGGUUACAUUUUUCAUAUGCUCUCCUCUUAUAGAUAGGACGAACAAAGAACAAAGUUUUUCGAUCACUUACUUCGCUCGCCCUUUUUUGAUCGGUUUUUUUAAUGCAAAUAGAUUCAAUCUAGUAAUUUCUUUUAGAUUAAGUCUUACGUCUUGUUUGACCGGUGAAAGACUUCCUUUGUUGAAAUGUUCUGUUCCCAAAAUUCCUAAAAUAAAAGGAAAAAACUUUCCACUUUCCUAAACUAAGGACGGGAAAUAAGAAGGAGAGCAUAUCUUCUAAAUUAAUAAUACUCAACUCAGCCCUUCCUAGAAUGGGGUAUUAUCUGUCCCGAUAAAUAGAUAAUUCCAGGAGUAAUAAAUAGGAGUAAAUUAAAUAAAGUAUUGAUAUAAUUGGAAUUGCGGAAGCAAAUACCAAUUUACUAAAAAAAGAAAAAAGUAUCUAAUCGAAAUCGAAAGAAUUUUUUUUUAAGAUUAAACAAAAGGGUUCGCAAAUAAAAGCGCUAGUGCCACAACUAGUCCAUAAAUUGUUAAAGCUUCCAUAAAAGCUAGACUAAGCAAUAAAGUACCUCGUAUUUUACCUUCUGCUUCUGGCUGUCUCGCAAUACCUUCUACAGCUUGUCCUGCAGCAGUACCUUGACCAACUCCAGGUCCAAUAGAAGCAAUCCCUACGGCCAAUCCAGCAGCAAUAACAGAAGCAGCAGCAAUUAGUGGAUUCAUGGUGAGUAGUUCCUCGUGUCAAAAAAAAGAAAUGGUUAAGGAUACAAUCAACCAAUAAAUUCUUACUUCUAAGCUCUAUUGGGGAGAAGUAAAGUAACUAAAAAGUACAAAUUGAAAUCAAAUUGAAAUGAUAAUGUGAAUUGUCCGAACUACAUAGAAGGGAAUUCCAUAUCCAUAUAUCGGAUUAGAUAAUGAAUCUAACCUAGGAAUAUAUAAUAUAAUAUCCUAUAUAAACAUUUGUUUCUUCUAUUUUGUUUGCAUAUUUUCUCAUUUUCUAUUGAAUCGGAUUCUAAAAUCAUUGCUUAAAGUGGAAACCCGCAUAAAAGAGGACUCCACUUAUAGACAUUAAGGAUAUUAUAGUAUAGAUCUAGCCUGACUCCACCCUCCUUAAUGCAUAUAUACUUUGAAAAUUCCAUAAUAUAGUCUAUUCUAUUCUCUCUCCUACAACUCUAGGCUAUAUAUUCAUACGCAUUUCUAACUAUUUUUUUGCAACCAAGCAGAUUAUCCGGAACCAUGCAUGAAUUGAGCUAAGCUGCAAAAAAAAAAAAUACUAUUUCCAAAAAUAGUCAAUUCAAUGAUGACCCUCCAUGGAUUCACCUAUAUAGGCUGCGGCUAAUGUUGCAAAAAUAAGAGCUUGAAUACCGCUUGUAAAUAAUCCAAGAAACAUGGCCGGUAUAGGGAUUACUAAGGGGACUAAAGAAACAAGAACAACAACGACUAAUUCAUCCGCCAAUAUAUUCCCGAAAAGUCGAAAGCUAAGUGAUAAUGGUUUUGUGAAAUCUUCUAGGAUGUUAAUUGGUAAAAGGAUUGGAGUUGGUUUAAUAUAUUUCUCGAAAUAGCUCAAUCCUUUUUUGCUAAGACCAGCAUAAAAAUAUGCCGCUGACGUGAGUAAAGCUAAAGCAACAGUAGUAUUUAUAUCAUUCGUGGGCGCUGCUAAUUCCCCAUGGGGUAACUCUAUAAUUUUCCAAGGUAAAAGAGCACCCGACCAAUUCGAAACAAAAAUAAAAAGGAACAUAGUUCCAAUAAAGGGAACCCAGGGACCAUAUUCUUCUCCAAUCUGAGUUUUGCUCAAGUCUCGAAUAAACUCAAGGACAUAUUCAAAAAAAUUCUGACCGUCGGUCGGGAUGGUUUGUGGAUUCCGAACAGCUAUGACAACUGAACCUAGCAAGAUAGUAAUUACGACCCAAGAAGUGAUGAGUACUUGGGCAUGAAUUUGGAAACCUCCUAUUUGCCAAUAGAAGUGUUGGCCUACUUCUACACCCGAUAUAUCGUAUAACCCCUUGAGUGUUUUAAUGGAACAAGGUAUAAUAUUCAUAUUGUCCUCUGAUAGAAAUUGAACUUCAAAAAAGGAAUUCUUUUGAUUCAACCAUCUCUUUCUCAACUCAGCAACUUGAAGUAUUAAUCUUAUAUUUAGGAUACCAAGAAAGCACAUCAGAUCAUAAUAUAUAUCAAUACCCUCUAAUAUAUAUCAAUAUUCCCCUUCUUUUUUCUAUGCAAAAAAAAUUCUAUGCAAAAAAAAAAGAUAUAGUAAAGUAAGUGAUUCCAUAAAUUUACGCAGUUGCCCAAGAAUUCACUAUAUAUUCUUAAUCAACGAUUUCUUAUAUAGAGAGAACGGCCCUCACAAAUUGAAAAUACUAAUUUGUUAAGAAUCAAUCGAAUUGAAGUCAUAGUGUCAUCGUUGGCUGGAAUCGAUAUAUUCGCGAGAUCCGGGUCACAAAUUGUAUCGACUAAAGAAAUAGUAGGAAUCCCCAAAAUGGCACAUUCCCGAAGAGCUAUAUACUCUUUUUGCUGAUCAAGGACGAUCACAAUGUCUGGCAAUCUCGUCAUAUAUUUGAUCCCGCCGAGAUACCUUUGCAAGGUAGAUAAUUUUCUCUUCAAGAUUGCCACAUCUCUUUUUGGGAGAUGGUGGAAUUUUCCCAUUUUUUCUUCUGCUCUUAAGUCUCUAAAUUGAGAAAGUCUAGUUUUCGUAAUCGACCAAUUCGUUAACAUACCACUGAACCACUUUUUAUUAACAUAAUGACAACGAGCCCUUAUUGCAGCUGAUGCUACUAAAUCUGUUGCUCUUUUUUUGGUACCAACAAUUAAGAAACUUUUUCCCUUACUUGCUGCAUCAAAAACUAAAUCACAAGCUUCUGAUAAAAAACGAGCCGUUCUAGCGAGAUUUAUAAUAUGAGUACCUUUACGCUUUGCCGAAAUGUAAGGGGCCAUUUUAGGAUUCCAUUUCUUAAUACCAUGACCAAAAUGAACUCCUGCUUCUAUCAUCUCUUUCAAAUUAAUGUUCCAAUAUCUUCUUGUCAUUUUUUCCACACUUCCUUUUUUUUAAUCCUACCAUUCCAUUACGGAAUUUAGUUCUUUUUGAAGAUUAAGAAAGAUCCGAAAUAGCUUGAAAUAAAUAAUAAUUGUUCCGAGAGAACCUUGUACUAAGAUAAGAGUUGGCCAUUGAUACAUGGUAUAAACAUAACCACCUUAAUGAAUUAACUGACUUGUUUUACUUAUUAAAAUAAAAAUCUUAAAAAUCUAAAAUUUGACCUGUUAGUGUUCUAAGUUCAAAAGUCUAGUAAAGUAAAAAAUAUUUUUUAUGUAUCCUUAAAUGAUAUAGGGUUAAAUGUUAAAUGGGGGUUCUUAUGUCUCAUAAAAAUUGUUUGUUACGUCAGAAUCUGAAGAAACUAAUUCUGUAUGAAGAAACAAAAAAUCUCUCAUUUCUGACGCGAAUAGAUUUUUUUUUAUUUCGAAAUAAAGGUUCUUGUCUUGUGGGGAACGAUGCACAAAUUUUUGGAAUCCGGUACCAACAGGUAUAAUCCCCCCCAGAACUACGUUUUCUUUCAAGCCUUUCAACCAAUCAAUGCGACAUCGUAGGGCAGCUUUUGCUAAAACUCGAGCAGUUUCUUGAAAACUUGCUUCAGAUAUGAAACUUUGGGUAUUCAGGGAAGCCCUUGUUAUUCCCAAUAAGAUUGCCCGAUAAUAGAUCGAUUCAUCCAAAGCUCGCCCUGCUCGUUCCGCUCGUAAUAGUCCGAUUAAUUCCCCAGGCGAAAAAACAUUAGACAUUCCAUCUUCGGAAACCCGCACUUUUGAUGUUACUUGGCGUAUAAUAAUCUCUAUAUGUCUAUUAUGGAUCUGUACCCCUUGGGAUCGAUAAACCUUUUGGAUUUUAUUAACCAAAGAGAUACGACUUUGGGCUAUGGUUAGCUCAGCUCCAAUCAAGAAUCCCCAAGGGACCCCAAGAAUUCUUGGUAUACGCUCAUUCCAAUCCUCAAUUCUCCUUUCGAGAUUCGGGGAUAAUGAAUCAAUUGAACGCGCUUCAAAGAUUUGUUCCACUUUUGGAAGACCUUGCGUUAUGUCACUAGAUCUCGAUUUUUCAUAUAUAAACGUAG
rnacentral:lncRNA from 1 species